CUAAAAUUGAUCAAAUAUGAAGGUGAACAAUAGUGGGAAUAAAUAGAGGUGACAGAAGACAAACCAAAUUAUAAAAAAACACAUUAAAUCGAAGUCAACAUUCAAACCUCUUGGUUGCAUGAUUAGAUGAAUCAUUAGGUCACCUCCUCUCUCACUGUUUAGAGAACAGACUCCAAAUGUAACUGGCUGUUAAUCACAAGUGAUUCACCACCACCUGCCAAUAAU